AGGCAGCUAGCCUAGUGGUUAGAGGAGGCAGGUAGCCUAGUGAUUAGAGAGGCAGGUAGCCUAGUGGUUAGAGAGGCAGGUAGCCUAGUGGUUAGAGAGGCAGGUAGACUAGUGGAUAGAGAGGCAGCUAGCCUAGUGGUUAGAGGAGGCAGGUAGCCUAGUGGUUAGAGAGGCAGGUAGCCUAGUGGUUAGAGAGGCAGCUAGCCUAGUGGUUAGAGAGGCAGGUAGCCUAGUGGUUAGAGGAGGCAGGUAGCCUAGUGGUUAGAGAGGCAGGUAGCCUAGUGGUUAGAGAGGCAGGUAGCCUAGUGGUUAGAGAGGCAGGUAGCCUAGUGGUUAGAGAGGCAGGUAGCCUAGUGGUUAGAGAGGCAGGUAGCCUAGUGGUUAGAGAGGCAGGUAGCCUAGUGGUUAGAGGGGCAGGUAGCCUAGGGGUUAGAG
rnacentral:lncRNA from 1 species